CCCUACGGCCCCUGUCAGUGUCACCCUCUCCAGAUGCUGUGUUUGCUCAGGGCUUUCUGUGGGUAAGCAAAGCACGUCUCCUGCUCCUUCGCCCAGCUUCAUGGUGUCCCGUGUGAGGAGUGUCUUUAUCAGGAUUAGGCCCUCAUAAUGAAAAGCAUGGGAGGAGGUCAGAGAACUGGCAGUGUGGUGCCAAAACAACAACCUCUCCCUCAAUGUGAGCAAGACAAAGGAGCUGAUCAUGGACUACAGGAAAAGGAGACAAUAUUUGGCAUGGGCCCCCAGAUCCUCAAAAGGUUCUACAGCUGCACCAUCGAGAGCAUCCUGACCGGUUGCAUCACAGCCUGGUAUGGCAACUGCUCGGCAUCUGACCGUAAGGCGCUACAGGGGGUAGUGCGAACGGCCCAGUACAUCAAUGGGGCCAAGCUUCCAGCUAACCAGGACCUAAAUAAUAGGCGGUGUCAGAGGAAAGCCCAUAAAAUUGUCAGAGACGGCACCCAAGUUAUAGACUCUUUUCUCUGCUACCGCACGGCAAGCGGUACCAGAGCACCAAGUCUAGGACCAAAAGGCCCCUCAACAGCUUCUACCCCCAAGCCAUUAGACUGCUGAACAAUUCAUAAAAAUCGCCACCAGACAAUUUACAUUGACCCCCCUUGUAAACUGCUGCUACUCGCUGUUUUUUUGUUAUGUCACUUCGCCCCCACCUACAUGUAAUGAUUGCCUCAACUAGCCUAUACCCCUGCACACUGACUCGGUACCGGUGCCCCCUGUAUAUAGCCUCGUUAUUGUUAUUCUUGUGUUACUUUUAAUUGUUACUUUUUAUUUUAGCCUACUUGGUAAAUAUUUUCUUUUUUUUAACUGCAUUGUUGGUUUAGGGCUUGUAAGUAAACAUUUAACGGUAAAGUCUACACUUGUUGUAUUCCGCACAUGUGGCAAAUAAAGUUUGAUUUGAUA
ensembl:lncRNA